AUCAAUGCAGGGACAUCACGAUGCUUUGAUCAGGUGGUGGUGGCGCAGGUCCACGGAAAACCCCAAAAUUUCAGAAGCAUUACAGACAGUCCUUUGGUGGAGCUUACAAUUCUGACAAGUCAGGUUACCAAACACCAUGAUACAUCCAGUCAGGAUACUUUGAAUGGUGCAGCAACAGAUGUUCACUAGGAUUUUGGUUCCCAUCCCAAAGCUUUUUAUCAUCCCCAGGAAUAAUCUUUCCCUAAGCCCUUUUGAGGUUGCAGGUGGUGUUGGCAGACCAAGACUGGUAUCCUGGUCCAGAGCUGGUUCCUGCUUUGUGCCCAAUGCCCCUGGGAUUGACUUGUUCUCCCUAUGACCAAAAAUUGGAUUUAGCUGGUUUGAAAAUGGUUUGUGGAAUAGUCCUUGAGAAAAGUCCUGGUAACGCAUUAGUGUUCACCAUUGAGUUCUUCAUUAUUUCCAAGUUGAUGGUACCCACAUAAAUCACUAAUAAAAUUAACUGAACGAGUUGGGUUGCAUCUGUUAAGUUUUAAACAGACAAAAUGGUGCAAUUCCUUCCAAGAAUGUAUUAUGACAGAGGGUAAAACUGACAGUGUCUCCCAAGGAGGAUAAAUGACUUUCAUUCACGGACAGGCUUUCUGCGAAACGGUGCACACAUUUUACGCAAUUUUUUGAGGUGCAGACGCCCGACGUGCAUUUCAUGACGCCUUCAGUGCCCACCAAAAAAUUAAAUUACCACGAAGAAUAAAUAUAUUAUUUUGAUCGGUAGGAUGGGUUUGACUAUGGAUUUAACACACCGUCAAAUUUACACGGCACUUUAUUAAACCGCGCAUCUGACGCUCUCAAAUAUAACUGUCAGCGGCCGGGAGGAUGCACAGCGGUUCGCGCGUGCGCACUCGCACACACGCACACCCUCUCUCUCUCUCUCUCUCUCUCUGGUUUGUCGGCAGCCAAGUGCGCGCGGUGUCCCUCUCGCGCCCCUUCUGCCAUUGGCCGCCGGCCUCUGCUACGUAAUACAAGCCCGUUGUCGCUCCCACUGUUUCCGCGUUCGCCCUUCCCCCUCUCAUAAAAAAGGCUCGAAGAAUACAUAAAUAAUAAAAUAAGGCAAUUCGUUGGAACGCGCUAGUUAUUUUUCUCCCUUCUGAUACAUGAACACGCUGUUUUGAAAGCCUCCUGGGUUUGCAGUGUCUUUUGUCGGCUUGGCCGUGUCCUCGCCGGAGUCGGUCAGGCAAGCGGACGAGGGGAGGAGAGGAGAGGGGAGGCGUAGCGGAGAGAGCGCAGCUAGCUUUGGUUGCCAAGGAGACGAAGCUGCCGGCGUUGUUGAACCAUUUUCUGCACUGAUCCCAGGGGGCUAAACCUCCUUGUAACUUUUUAAAAAGAGAGGGAGUGAGACAAUCUGUCUAAUUAUAUCACACUGCCACGCGCAUUAUCACUGCCAUGACACUGGCUAAAACAAGCUAUUCUUCCCCAAUGACAGAUGGCUAAAACCUGAACAUUCAGUUCAGUGAUGGGUUAAACUGAAAAAGCCAAAAAAACACCGG